rnacentral:rRNA from 1 species
CUACGGGAGGCAGCAGUCGAGAAUAGUCUACAAUGGUCGAAAGACUGAUAGUGCGNCGCCGCGUGAACGAAGAAGCCCUUCGGGGUGUAAAGUUCUUUUAUAUGUGAGCAGUGGGUUCCAUAUGAAUAGUAUGGGAUCAGAGAUAUUAGCAUAUGAAUAAGCAACGGCUAACUCCGUGCCAGCAGCCGCGGUAACACGGGGGUUGCGGGCGUUGUCCGGAAUUACUAGGCGUAAAGGGCAGGCAGGCGGAUCUAUAAGCUUUUCGUUUAAGGCGUCAGCUUAACUGGCGUACGGCGGGAGAUACUGUAGAUCUGGAAUGCGGUUGGGGAAGACAGAAUUCCUGGUGUAGCGGUGGAAUGCGCAGAGAUCAGGAGGAAUACCGAAGGCGAAGGCAGUCUUCCAAGCCGUCAUUGACGCUCAACUGCGAAGGUGUGGGUAUCAAACAGGAUUAGAUACCCUGGUAGUCCACACAGUAAACGAUGAUCACUGGGUGUCGGGUUCGAAGAGGAUUCGGUGCCGUAGCUAACGCGAUAAGUGAUUCGCCUGGGGAGUACGAUCGCAAGGUUAAACUCAAAUGAAUUGACGG